GUUACUAGCAGGGCUGCAUGAUCUACUAUGAAGGAAAAGGAAGCAAGAAAAACCACUAAGCACUUCAAGGGUACUCAGGAGGUCUUGACUCCUCACUCCUUUGCAUUUUUUAUUUGCCAUCUAAGCAAUGUAUAACCUUCCUCAGAAGUCUGUUGCAAAUGCAUUACCUCAUCAUGUCUUGACAAGAAGAUGCUUGCUUGUAAGAAGCAAAAAAUGGCUUUCUUCAAAGGAUGUAGAAGUAGGAUAAGAAAGUGAGCAUGAGAACCUGAAGCAGGCUUUUGUUCUUGCUGUCUCCGAGUCUUGGCGCAGAAUCAAGUAACAGAUUUCAAGAAGUUGGAAGCAUGAUCUACUUAUUCUGGAAGAAGAUAUUGAGGCAGUGAAUGCUUCUAAAAUUGUUUCCCUUAAAAAAAGUGCUGUGGCCAUGCUUGUGAUUGAAAUAGAAGAAAGGAUACUCAGACGGAAAGAAGCUCAGGAAAUUCAAUUUGACAAAUUCCUCAAUGUCCUAGAGACAGAGAAUUGUGCCUAUGGGAGAAAACAAUGCUCCUGGAGAGAUGAGAGCAAGCCCUGGAAACCCACUGACUGCCUUUGGCAGAGGAUAUUCUCCUGGAACCAAAAGUUCUUCAGUCCAGAGCUCUCAUUCCACCUGUCUUCCUGCAUACACAUAUCUGGAGAGAGUGAAACCCCAAAUCCAGUUCCUGGUGUGUUAAAUGAGAAACUUCAGUGGAAUAGAAAGGGCUCAAGCAACUCCAGCACAGGGACACAGUUUUAGAACUUCUCAACAUUACAUGAUAAACCAAGAAGGAUAACCCUCCAAAAAUACAUUCAGCUUGAAAUAAGUAAAUAGCAUCUGGGAGCAAAGACUUGAAAGAAGACAGAGCAGAGGCAGUGCUCUGAAGUGCAGGCAAGAUGAAGGUAUUAAUCCAGUGUCUUCAAAAGAUAAAGGAUCAAAGCCGAUGACCUGGUGAGCUAGGACACUGUUCAACUGUCACUAUAAUAGUGAAUAUACACAGACAUAUAAGUAAUUAAUGUCACUAUGAAAUACAGAAUAGCAUCCAUUUGCAUAGUUCUCUCUCUAAAAAUAAACUCUUGAAAUAGCAAAUACA
rnacentral:lncRNA from 1 species